UACGAAGGGGGCUAGCGUUGCUCGGAAUUACUGGGCGUAAAGCGCACGUAGGCGGAUUGUUAAGUCAGGGGUGAAAUCCCGGGGCUCAACCCCGGAACUGCCUUUGAUACUGGCAUUCUCGAGUCCGGAAGAGGUGAGUGGAAUUCCGAGUGUAGAGGUGAAAUUCGUAGAUAUUCGGAGGAACACCAGUGGCGAAGGCGGCUCACUGGUCCGGAACUGACGCUGAGGUGCGAAAGCGUGGGGAGCAAACAGG
rnacentral:rRNA from 1 species